rnacentral:rRNA from 1 species
AGACCACCAGCUAAGGUCCCAAAAUAUAUGUUAAGUGGAAAAGGAUGUGGCGUUGCCCAGACAACUAGGAUGUUGGCUUAGAAGCAGCCAUCAUUUAAAGAGUGCGUAAUAGCUCACUAGUCGAGUGACACUGCGCCGAAAAUGUACCGGGGCUAAACAUAUUACCGAAGCUGUGGAUUGUCCUUUGGACAAUGGUAGGAGAGCGUUCUAAGGGCGUCGAAGCAUGAUCGCAAGGACAUGUGGAGCGCUUAGAAGUGAGAAUGCCGGUGUGAGUAGCGAAAGACGGGUGAGAAUCCCGUCCACCGAUUGACUAAGGUUUCCAGAGGAAGGCUCGUCCGCUCUGGGUUAGUCGGGUCCUAAGCUGAGGCCGACAGGCGUAGGCGAUGGAUAACAGGUUGAUAUUCCUGUACCACCUAGUAUCGUUUUAAUCGAUGGGGGGACGCAGUAGGAUAGGCGAAGCGUGCUGUUGGAGUGCACGUCCAAGCAGUAAGGCUGAGUGUUCGGCAAAUCCGGCACUCAUCAGGCUGAGCUGUGAUGGGGAGAGGAAAUUGUUUCCUCGAGUCGUUGAUUUCACACUGCCGAGAAAAGCCUCUAGAUAGCUAACAGGUGCCCGUACCGCAAACCGAACCAGGUAGUCAAGAUGAGAAUUCAUAGGUGAG